UGGCUCAGUAGCUCAGUGGUUAGAGCAGGGGAUUCAUAAGCCCAAGGUCGCAGGUUCAAAUCCCGCUUGAGCC
rnacentral:tRNA from 1 species